UUAUUUUGUUAUUUUUGCAUAAUUUUUUUUGAUCGUUUGGAAGUUUAAUAGUUUUUUUUGUUUUCGUUUCUUGAUUUCUCUUUAAUUUACAAUUUUUAUUCUUUUUUAUUUUCAUACACCUAUCGUUCCAUUGUUGUCAGUUUCUGCAUUUUGUGUAUCUGUAAUUUUAUUUUUUUGCAGAACCUGAUUCUGGCGAAGGAGAGGGCGCACGCACCGUUCCUCGAGAUAAAAGCAAGGGUAAAGCAAAAUUAAUUGAAG
rnacentral:lncRNA from 1 species